rnacentral:rRNA from 1 species
AUUGAACGCUGGCGGCAGGCCUAACACAUGCAAGUCGAACGAGUGGCGGACGGGUGAGUAAAGUCUGGGAAACGGCCUGAGGGAGGGGGAUAACUAAUGGAAACGGUAGCUAAUACAGCAUACCAUCAGAUGUGCCCAGAUGGGAUUAUCUAGUGGGUGGGGUAACGGCUCACCAAGGCGACGAUCCCUAGCUGGUCUGAGAGGAUGAACAGCCACACUGGAACUGUAACACGGUCCCGACUCCUACGGGAGGCAUCGGUGGGGAAUAUUGCACAAUGGGCGCAAGCCUGAUGCAGCCGUGCCGCGUGUAUGAAGAAGGCCUUCGGGUUGUAAAGUACUUUCAGCGGGGAGGCGUUACCCGCAGAAGAAGCACCUGCUAACUCCGUGCCAGCAGCCGCGGUAAUAC